ACACGUAGGGGGCGAGCGUUGUUCGGAAUCAUUGGGCGUAAAGGGCGCGCAGGCGGCGAGGCAAGUCCGGUGUGAAAGUGCUCGGCUCAACCGAGUGAUGCGCUGGAAACUGCCCUGCUUGAGUACAGGAGGGGACGUCGGAAUUCCAGGUGUAGGGGUGAAAUCUGUAGAUAUCUGGAAGAACACCGGUGGCGAAGGCGGACGUCUGGCCAUGUACUGACGCUGAGGCGCGAAGGUGCGGGGAGCGAACAGGUUUAGAUACCCUGGUAGUCCGCGCAGUAAACGAUGCGCACCAGGUGUCGGGCGGCAGCGCCCGGUACCGGAGCAAACGCGAUGAGUGCGCCGCCUGGGGAGUAUGCCCGCAAGGGUGGAACUCAAAUGAAUUGGCGGGG
rnacentral:rRNA from 1 species